UCGGUAAUACGAUAGUGGUUAAUCGGUCACAUUUAGGCUGUGGUGGGGAAACCCUCGCAAGUUCGAAUCUUGCUUACCGUA
rnacentral:tRNA from 1 species